GGGGAUGACAGGGUACUACCGUGGCUUUUGUAAGAACUUUGCUACUGUUGUCACACCCCUAACUGAUCUCCUUAAAGCAGAACAGAAGUUUGUGUGGAAUGCUGAGUGUGAAUCUGCAUUUGAUUCUGCUAAAGAUCUGUUAUGCCAUGCUCCUGUGUUGUCUGCCCCGAAUUUUGCUUUGCCUUUUAAGCUACAGGUGGAUGCUAGCGGGGUUGGCGCCGGGGCAGUGUUGCUGCAAGAAGACAAGGCAGGAAUUGAACACCCAGUAUGCUACUUUUCGAAGAAAUUCACCAGGUGUCAAAGAAACUACAGUACCAUCGAAAAGGAAGCUCUCGCCUUGUUGUUGGCACUGCAGAAUUUUGAGGUCUACUUGUGUAAUGGUAGUAUGGGCCCUAUCAUUGUAUACACUGACCACAACCCUCUCGUCUUCCUGUCUCGUAUGGCAAACUCAAACCAGAGAUUAAUGAGAUGGUCUCUUAUUCUGCAAGAGUUUGUUCUUGAUAUAAGGUAUAAAAAAGGAGUGGACAAUGUAGUAGCAGAUGCUUUAUCAAGGGCUCAUACUGAUGACUAAACCGCUCAUAAAAUGUGUGGUAAGUUUUGUUUUUCUCUUUUACAAACCAAGAGAAAUCAUAGUUUGUAACUAUGGGUGGGGGUGUUACGUCCAGAGACGAAGUCUUUAUUGAUUUAUACUUUCUUUAAUGUGUUCUUUUUUUCUUUCAUUGUUUCUUCUUGACUCCUCCUACUCAAUCUGCCUGGCAGGUAGUAGAGCAGAACAGAACACAAUCUUCAUCAUCACACAAGACACAACAACAACAAUGAACAACAUCAUCAUCCUCAUCUGGACCAUUGCAGUAUUUUUUCGAGCCUCCAGAGGAGUCACUCUGACUCAACCUGAAGUUAAAACUGUGCAACAGGGUCAAACAGCUACAAUAGAGUGUAACAUAGAUGUAGGGAUAUAUAGUGACUACUUAGCCUGGUAUCAGCAGAAACCUGGAGAAGCUCCUAAACUCCUCAUAUAUGACAUAAACACCCUUCAGUCAGGAACUCCAUCUAGAUUCAGUGGCAGUGGAACAGCAAAUACUGGAAAAGAUUUCACUCUCACCAUCAGUGGAGUCCAGACUGAAGAUACAGGAGAUUAUUACUGUCAGAGUUACCACAGUGGUCCAGUGUUCACACAGUGAUAAAGAGUCGUACAAAAACCUCCAUCAGUCAGAGUCACAGUGACUGCACUGAUACAGCUGAGAGACACUGCAGCUGCUGAUGGAGGUUAUUUCUUAUAACAGUCUCAUUUAGUUAAAAUAUGUUGAAGUCUUGUACUGAUUUAUGAAUCUUUCUGGAUCUUUAAUGUGUUACACACUCAUAGCUUCACCAUUGAUGUAUUUAAUUCAUCAUUCAAAAUGUUCCACCAUUAAACAAUCCAAUGAAAUCUGACGAUACUUACAGUAUGCAGUGAAACAGCAGCCAGAGUCCUCGUGUCCUUUCAAUCCUGAAUUACACUAAAUGAGUUCUGCAUAAAAUCUCCUUCUGCGUGUCAUAGAACAUUAAAAUUUAAUUCCUAAUUUCUUCUUCUACUUCUUCUUCUUUUUCUUGCAAAGUGAAAAUCUCAAAUGAUGUAUUGUGUUAAGAAUCAUUCUGUGAGUCCGUAGUGAAAAUUAUGUUUUUGGAUUUCACACAAUCAAAUUUUCACACUUUUUUCAUAAUUAAAAUUAUAGCUUGAUUGGAAAUGACUCGAAGAUAUUCUGCUCACAAGUCAUAUUUACCUUUGUUUUUCAAUUUGAUAAAUGUUUUACUGGGAAUGGUGGAAAUAUUACAUAUUAUAAUGUAUUGUAAUAGUUAUUAUUAUAAUGAAUGAGAUUGAUUAUUAUUAUAAUGA